UACGAAGGGGGCUAGCGUUGUUCGGAAUCACUGGGCGUAAAGCGCACGUAGGCAGAUCCUUAAGUCAGGGGUGAAAUGCCGAGGCUCAACCUCGGAACUGCCUUUGAUACUGGGGAUCUCGAGUCCGGGAGAGGUGAGUGGAAUUGCGAGUGUAGAGGUGAAAUUCGUAGAUAUUCGCAAGAACACCAGUGGCGAAGGCGGCUCACUGGCCCGGUACUGACGCUGAGGUGCGAAAGCGUGGGGAGCAAACAGG
rnacentral:rRNA from 1 species